AAUGGGCUGGUCUCCUCCAUUCUGUGAUGUUGAAGGGGUUGCUGGCAGUUUUGAGAGUGGACCAUUGGUUGAGAUCCCAGAUACAACAAUUAUCACUACUACCUUACUCACAACGGAGCCUCCAACAACUACUGAAGAGACAACAGUUGCCACAACACCCACUACUACAAUUCCCACAACAGAGGCUCCGACAACUACUGAAGAGACAACAG